UAACUUGCCAAAUAAUAAUUAUAAUAUAUGCGAUGACGCUUAUAUGAGUAAUACCUCUUUUUUAUCCAUUCAAGAUGGUAGUGAUAAUGCAAAGUAUUUCAAAGAAAUUAUUCGCCAGCAAAGUUUCUUUAAAACUUAAUUGUGGCAGAUUGCAGACGAUUUAAGAGAAG